AAAAAUAGUGUUUGGUGGAAGUUUUUUUGGUUUCAGGAAAUUGUGGCUCAAAGGACAACAAUCCACUGCUGUAUGAAGAAGCCCCUUCUUGAUUGGAUAAGGAGCGAGGUCUUGAAACUGCAGUACACUUAUUCAGACUCUGGUUGGCUUUUUUUUUUCUUUUUGUCCCUUUUUUUCUUCAACCCAAACAUAUCCUUUCUGCAGGGGUCACUUCUUUCACUCAUCAAUACAGUGUUAUUGGGGACCUUAACUCCAUCUUUAUG